UACGCAGGGGGCUAGCGUUGUUCGGAUUUACUGGGCGUAAAGCGCACGUGGGCGGGUUGUUAAGUCAGGGGUGAAAUCCUGGAGCUCAACUCCAGAACUGCCUUUGAUACUGGCAACCUAGAGGCUGGAAGAGGUUAGUGGAAUUCCCAGUGUAGAGGUGAAAUUCGUAGAUAUUGGGAAGAACACCAGUGGCGAAGGCGGCUAACUGGUCCAGAUCUGACGCUGAGGUGCGAAAGCGUGGGGAGCAAACAGG
rnacentral:rRNA from 1 species